rnacentral:rRNA from 1 species
GAGAGUUUGAUCCUGGCUCAGGACGAACGCUGGCGGCGUGCUUAACACAUGCAAGUCGAACGAUGAACCCUUAGCUUGCUUUGGGGGAUUAGUGGCGAACGGGUGAGUAACACGUGAGUAACCUGCCCUGAACUCUGGGAUAAGCGCUGGAAACGGCGUCUAAUACCGGAUAGGACCCUGUACCGCAUGGUGUGGGGUGGAAAGUUUUUCGGUUUGGGAUGGACUCGCGGCCUAUCAGCUUGUUGGUGAGGUAAUGGCUCACCAAGGCGUCGACGGGUAGCCGGCCUGAGAGGGUGACCGGCCACACUGGGACUGAGACACGGCCCAGACUCCUACGGGAGGCAGCAGUGGGGAAUAUUGCACAAUGGGCGCAAGCCUGAUGCAGCAACGCCGCGUGCGGGAUGACGGCCUUCGGGUUGUAAACCGCUUUUAGUAAGGAAGAAGCCUUCGGGUGACGGUACUGCAG